rnacentral:pre_miRNA from 2 species
AAUUUCAGCUGAAAAAGUCAUAAACAUAAAAAUUGUAGAGCUCAUCAAGACAUACAACUUUUAUUUUGGUCAUUACUUCAUCCGACAAAGUAAUAGUAAGAUUGUUCACAAAGUUUAUAUAUCUCACUUAUAGUUUAUAGAACCAAAUGAGAUAGAUGUAAAUUUUGUGAACAACGUUACUAUCACUUUGUCGGAUGAAGAAAUGACCAAAAUAAAAGUUAUAGAUCUUGAUGAGUUAUACAACUUUGUUGUUGAUGACUGUUUCAGUUGAAAUC